GAUCAUGGCUCAGGAUGAACGCUAGCGACAGGCCUAACACAUGCAAGUCGAGGGGCAGCGGAGAGGUAGCAAUACCUUUACCGGCGACCGGCGCACGGGUGAGUAACACGUAUGCAAUCCACCUGUAACAGGGGGAUAACCCGGAGAAAUCCGGACUAAUACCCCAUAAUAUGGGCGUUACGCAUAGAGAGCUCAUUAAAGAGAGCAAUUUUGGUUACAGACGAGCAUGCGCUCCA
rnacentral:rRNA from 1 species